CGAUGAACCUCACUUGUGGGGGGAUUAGUGGCGAACGGGUGAGUAACACGUGAGUAACCUGCCCUUGACUCUGGGAUAAGCCUGGGAAACCGGGUCUAAUACUGGAUACGACCUUCUGGCGCAUGCCAUGUUGGUGGAAAGCUUUUGUGGUUUUGGAUGGACUCGCGGCCUAUCAGCUUGUUGGUGGGGUAAUGGCCUACCAAGGCGACGACGGGUAGCCGGCCUGAGAGGGUGACCGGCCACACUGGGACUGAGACACGGCCCAGACUCCUACGGGAGGCAGCAGUGGGGAAUAUUGCACAAUGGGCGCAAGCCUGAUGCAGCGACGCCGCGUGAGGGAUGAAGGCCUUCGGGUUGUAAACCUCUUUCAGUAGGGAAGAAGCCGAUCUUCUGGGUUGGUGACGGUACCUGCAGAAGAAGCGCCGGCUAACUACGUGCCAGCAGCCGCGGUAAUACGUAGGGCGCAAGCGUUAUCCGGAAUUAUUGGGCGUAAAGAGCUCGUAGGCGGUUUGUCGCGUCUGCCGUGAAAGUCCGGGGCUUAACCCCGGAUCUGCGGUGGGUACGGGCAGACUAGAGUGCAGUAGGGGAGACUGGAAUUCCUGGUGUAGCGGUGAAAUGC
rnacentral:rRNA from 1 species